GCCAUGCUAGUCGAACGACCCGGACUAUGGCGGGGAGUGGCAGACUGCUCAGUAACACGUAGCUAACCUACCCUUGGGACGGGUAAAACCCCGGGAAACUGAGGUUAAUACCCGAUAGGUGUGGAUUCCUGGAAUGGUACCACGCCCAAAUGUAAGCGCAUCCAUGUUUGCGUGCGCGCCCGAGGAUGGGGCUGCGGCCGAUCAGGCAGUUGGUGAGGUAACGGCUCACCAAACCUUUGACCGGUACGGGCCAUGAGAGUGGUAGCCCGGAGAUGGGCACUGAGACAAGGGCCCAGGCCCUACGGGGCGCAGCAGGCGCGAAACCUCCACAAUUCACGAAAGUGAGAUGGGGUUACCUCGAGUGCCGUCUGAAGAAGGCGGCUUUUCCAUUGUGUAAUGAGCCGUGGGAAUAAGAGGGGGGCAAGACUGGUGUCAGCCGCCGCGGUAACACCGGCCCCUCGAGUGGUGGGGAUGAUUAUUUGGCCUAAAGCGUCCGUAGCCAGCUCUGUAAAUCUCCCGUUAAAUCCAACGUCCUAAGCGUUGGGCUGCGAGAGACACUGCGGAACUAGAGGGUGGGAGAGGUCAGCGGUAUUCCUGGGGUAGGGGCGAAAUCCAUUGAUCCCAGGAGGACCACCAGUGGCGAAGGCUGCUGACUUGAACACGCCUGACGGUCAGGGACGAAAGCUGGGGUAGCGAAUCGGAUUAGAUACCCGAGUAGUCCCAGCCGUAAACGAUGCAGGCUAGGUGUUGGGUUGGCCACGUGCCAGCUCAGUGCCACAGGGAAGCCAUUAAGCCUGCCGCCUGGGGAGUACGGCCGCAAGGCUGAAACUUAAAGGAAUUGGCGGGGGAGCACCACCAGGCGUGAAGCCUGCGGUUU
rnacentral:rRNA from 1 species